UACAGAGGGUGCGAGCGUUGUUCGGAAUUAUUGGGCGUAAAGGGCGCGUAGGCGGUGCGGUAAGUCACCUGUGAAAUCUCCUGGCUCAACUGGGAGCUUGCAGGCGAAACUGCCGUGCUGGAGUGUGGGAGAGGUGCGUGGAAUUCCUGGUGUAGCGGUGAAAUGCGUAGAUAUCAGGAGGAACACCUGUGGCGAAGGCGGGUCUCUGGGCAGUAACUGACGCUGAGGAGCGAAAGCGUGGGGAGCGAACAGG
rnacentral:rRNA from 1 species